rnacentral:lncRNA from 1 species
UCUAAACGGUGCCCUAAGGGCUGUAUAUAUGAGGGAAAAGAGAGGCAAUUUCGUAACCCUUGGGGAAGGGUUCCGAAAACAGCCCUAGUCUCGUUUUCCCCACACAUACGGACUCUAAAAAUAGCCUAUAUUAUGGUAUUUCGAAAUUACAUGGGCCUGGCCCAAAAAUAAGGUGGCGCAACACCUAUAAUAGCCUAUGGACGAAAUUAAUAAAGUGGGGUCUUGAAUAUUU